rnacentral:lncRNA from 1 species
ACCAUGAUAGGACUCUUUUAUGUAUAGACUGGCAUGACAGAUCAUUUGGUAUGCGUAGAAGCAAACACUUUUUAUCUCAGUGUGUCCUGACCACAUCACUAUCUUAUGGGACAGUGAUCCACAGGUGUAAAUGAUGAGUCCUUAGGCAUACUAACAGCAAAAGAAGUUUGUGGCUUGAAAUAUACUCUGAAAAUACUUACCACUGAUUUCUCAGUGAUAAGUAAAUAUACAUUUUAAGAGGAGGGUACUCUAUUUUCAUCAGCAUGAAGGACUUUUGAUAAUAGUUGGUAUGGAAAUGAGAACUUCAGAAAAUUAAGGACAGUGGAAGACCCAGUGGAGAUGUCAUCUAUGUCUUUUAUCCCCUCUGAGCAGCAGUCUCCAUGGGAACAUGUGUUCAGGCUGGGCGUGUUUACUGGAAGCAGAUGUCACACCUUGCUUCCGGUCUGCAGUGUGGUAGCAGGUAGACAGAACAUGGUGGGGACGCCAGGGUCACCUGUAUGCAACAGGUGACUUUCCUUCUGUAUGACUGGCAAAAAAGUGACAGGCC